UAGGCGUAAAUGAUGCGAGUUAAGUGUGGGGGCAUCUACGAGAUGGCCCUGUGCUGUAGGGUAGCCGUUAAACUCGCUGCCUGGGGAGUACGGUCGCAAGGCUGAAACUUAAAGGAAUUGGCGGGGGAGCACCACAACGGGUGGAGCUUGCGGUUUAAUUGGAUUCAACGCCGGAAAUCUUACCGGGACCGACAGCAACAUGAAGGCCAGGCUGAAGACUUUGCCGGAUUAGCUGAGAGGAGGUGCAUGGCGUAGUCGUGU
rnacentral:rRNA from 1 species